UUUGCACACAGUUAGAACUCUGAGCUGAGACCAAUCUGGUCUGUGAACUCUUGAGUGUAGGAUGUGUGCUACAGUGAUAUGGCAGGUUUUUCGCCAACACCACAAGUAGCCCUAAUGCUUCAGUGAGUGGUGUUGGAUAGUAACUUUGCCACAGCC